GACGAACGCUGGCGGCGUGCUUAACACAUGCAAGUCAAGGGGGCCCAGCAAUGGGCAACCGGCGAACGGGUGCGUAACACGUGAGCAACCUACCGAACUGUGGGGGAUAGCCGGCCUAACGGCCGAGUAAUACCGCAUACGCUCUCAGGGAGGCAUUUCUUUGAGAGGAAACCUACGGGACAGAUCGAGGGGGCUCGCGGCCUAUCAGCUAGUUGGCGAGGUAACGGCUCACCAAGGCAACGACGGGUAGCUGGUCUGAGAGGACGAUCAGCCACACUGGGACUGAGACACGGCCCAGACUCCUACGGGAGGGCAGCAGUGGGGGAAUCUUGCGCAAUGCGCGAAAGCGUGACGCAGCAACGCCGCGUGGGGAAGAAGGCC
rnacentral:rRNA from 1 species